rnacentral:rRNA from 1 species
UACGUAGGGUGCAAGCGUUGUCCGGAAUUAUUGGGCGUAGAGAGCUCGUAGGCGGUUUGUCGCGUCGGCCGUGAAAUCUCCACGCUUAACGUGGAGCGUGCGGUCGAUACGGGCAGACUUGAGUUCGGUAGGGGAGACUGGAAUUCCUGGUGUAGCGGUGAAAUGCGCAGAUAUCGGGAGGAACACCAGUGGCGAAGGCGGCGAUCUGGGUGGAUACUGACGCUGAGGUGCGAAAGCGUGGGGAGCAAACAGG